rnacentral:misc_RNA from 1 species
GAUGAAGAACGUAGCGAAAUGCGAUAAGUAAUGUGAAUUGCAGAAUUCAGUGAAUCAUCGAAUCUUUGAACGCACAUUGCGCCCGCCAGUAUUCUGGCGGGCAUGCCUGUUCGAGCGUCAUUACAACCCUCAGGCCCCCGGGCCUGGCGUUGGGGAUCGGCGGAGCCCCCCGUGGGCACACGCCGUCCCCCAAAUACAGUGGCGGUCCCGCCGCAGCUUCCAUCGCGUAGUAGCUAACACCUCGCGACUGGAGAGCGGCGCGGCCACGCCGUAAAACACCCAACUCUUCUGAAGUUGACUUCGAAUCAGGUAGGAAUACCCGCUGAACUUAAGCAUAUCAAUAAGCGGAGGA